GUCUCUGUAGCGCAAUGGAUGGCGCGUUGGACUUCUAAUCCAAAAGUUGUAGGCUCAAAUUCCAUCUGGGAUG